AUGAACACUGCACCAGAGCACUGGAGUAGGGCCUACUUCAAGCUAGGGUCUUGGUGUGACUCGGUGGAGAACAAUCUUUGUGAAUCAUUCAACAAUGCUAUUAUGAAAGCAAGGUUCUGUCAUGUUAUCACGGCAAAUGAGAUCAUUAGGAAAAAGGUGACUGCACGGAUCCAGGAAAAUAGAGAUACAUCUAACAAAUGGCCUGGAACCAUUUGCCCAAACAUUUUCAAAAAACUGAAAUUGAACAUUAAGAGGUCAGGGUUAUGUCAGGUUCUUUGGAAUGGGAAGGAAGGAUUCAAAGUUCAAGAAGGUGUGCAUAGGAGGUAUACCGUAAACUUGGGCAUAUGGAAGUGUUCUUGCAGAUAUUGGGAGCUGUCAGGUUUGCCCUGUAGCCAUGCCAUCAGUGCAAUUUACACAAUCUCUGGGCAGAUAGAUGAUUACAUUGCCCCAUGCUACAAGAUCUCCGAGUACAACAAGAUAUAUGACCAUGUCCUGCAACCAGUGGAGGGUAAAGAGAGCUGGCCAGUUGCCGAGAUGCCAAAACCUCAUCCACCUCCUCAUAGGGUAAUGCCGGGAAGAAAGAAGACAAAAAGAAGAAGAGAAGAAGGUGAGGUUGAGAAACCUCACGGGAACAAGCUUUCAAAGAAAGGCAUUAAAAUUGCGUGUUCUAUGUGUGGGAGUUUUGCUCAUAACAAGAGAACAUGUGAGAAAAAUCCAAACAAGGGAAAAAAACAAAAUGCUAGAUACACAAGAGCAGCAAAAAGAGCUAGGAAAAAGCAGCAAAAAGAUUUAGAAAACAACACAUAG
rnacentral:rRNA from 1 species